GAUCUUGGUUCAGGAUGAACGCUGGCGGCGUGCUUAACACAUGCAAGUCGAACGGAGUUUUAAACGGAAGUUUUCGGAUGGAAGUUUAGAAACUUAGUGGCGGACGGGUGAGUAACGCGUGGGUAACCUGCCUCAUACAGGGGGAUAACAGUUAGAAAUGACUGCUAACACCGCAUAAUAUAGCGAAACCGCAUGAUUUUGCUAUCAAAUAUUUAUAGGUAUGAGAUGGGCCCGCGUCUGAUUAGCUAGUUGGUGGGGUAAAAGCCUACCAAGGCGACGAUCAGUAGCCGGCUUGAGAGAGUGACCGGCCACAUUGGGACUGAGACACGGCCCAAACUCCUACGGGAGGCAGCAGUGGGGAAUAUUGGACAAUGGGGGAAACCCUGAUCCAGCGACGCCCGCGUGAGUGAAGAAGUAUUUCGGUAUGUAAAGCUCUAUCAGCAGGGAAGAUAAUGACAGUAUCUGACUAAGAAGCCCCGGCUAACUACGUGCCAGCCGCAGC
rnacentral:rRNA from 1 species